ensembl:miRNA mir730 microRNA 730
UCCUCAUUGUGCAUGCUGUGUGUCUUCAGUCUGGUCCUCACAGCGCCUGCAAUGUGGAGGC